CAAUAGCGUAUAUUUAAGUUGUUGCAGUUAAAAAGCUCGUAGUUGGAUUUCGGGUGGGACGCAGCGGUCUCGCAUUGCGUUUGUACUGCUGCAGCCCUCCUUCUUGCCGGGGGCGGCCUCUCGGACUUCACUGUCUGGGGGUCAGAAUCGGCGAUGUUACUUUGAGUAAAUUAGAGUGUUCAAAGCAAGCUUACGCUCUGAAUAUAAUAGCAUGGGAUAACACGACAGGACUCUGGCCUAUCGUGUUGGUCUAUAGGACCAGAGUAAUGAUUAAGAGGGACAGUCGGGGCAUUCGUAUUCCGUUGUCAGAGGUGAAAUUCUUGGAUUUACGGAAGACGAACAUCUGCGAAAGCAUUUGCCAAGGAUGUUUUCAUUGA
rnacentral:rRNA from 1 species